rnacentral:SRP_RNA from 1 species
UCCGAGGGGUCGAGGACCGUGGAACACCGAGGCUGGUAUCGGAGCAGGCAUCGCCGCCGGCAGCGGCGGGACUGCACCGAA